rnacentral:ncRNA from 1 species
CGCAGGGCGUGCUUGAGGACGAUGUCGCGGAAUGCCACGCCCUUGAGGCGGGCGGUCCGGAUAUAUUGGGCGGUCAUCACCUCCGUCAUGGACGCUCGGGUCAUGCGGGCGAUGUAUCCCAUCCCGUACAGCGCGACCGUCAGAACGGGGAGCGUGAAGUUCUCGAAGGUGAUGUUC